rnacentral:misc_RNA from 1 species
GAUGAAGAACGUAGCGAAAUGCGAUAAGUAGUGUGAAUUGCAGAAUUCAGUGAAUCAUCGAAUCUUUGAACGCACAUUGCGCCCCAUGGUAUUCCGUGGGGCAUGCCUGUUCGAGCGUCAUUUACCCCCUCAAGCUCCGCUUGGUGUUGGGCGUCUGUCCCGCUUCGCGCGCGGACUCGCCCCAAAGGUAUUGGCAGCGGUCGUGCCAGCUUCUCGCGCAGCACAUUGCGCUUCUCGAGGCACCGGUGGGCCCGCGUCCAUCAAGCUCACCCCCCCAGUUUGACCUCGGAUCAGGUAGGGAUACCCGCUGAACUUAAGCAUAUCAAUAACGGAGA